AGUGAACGCUGGCGGUAGGCCUAACACAUGCAAGUCGAACGGCAGCACAGUAAGAGCUUGCUCUUACGGGUGGCGAGUGGCGGACGGGUGAGGAAUACAUCGGAAUCUACUUUUUCGUGGGGGAUAACGUAGGGAAACUUACGCUAAUACCGCAUACGACCUACGGGUGAAAGCAGGGGAUCUUCGGACCUUGCGCGAUUGAAUGAGCCGAUGUCGGAUUAGCUAGUUGGCGGGGUAAAGGCCCAACAAGGCGACGAACCGUAGCUGGUCUGAGAGGAUGACCAGCCAGACUGGAACUGAGACACGGUCCAGACUCCUACGGGAGGCAGCAGUGGGGAAUAUUGGACAAUGGGCGCAAGCCUGAUCCAGCCAUACCGCGUGGGUGAAGAAGGCCUUCGGGUUUUAAAGCCCUUUUGUUGGGAAAGAAAAGCAGCAGGUUAAUACCCCGCUGUUCUGACGGUACCCAAAGAAUAAGCACCGGCUAACUUCGUG
rnacentral:rRNA from 1 species